UACGUAGGGUGCGAGCGUUGUCCGGAAUUACUGGGCGUAAAGCGCGCGCAGGCGGCUAUCCAAGUCAGUGGUGAAAGCCCGGAGCUCAACUCCGGAACUGCCAUUGAAACUGUUUAGCUUGAGUAUGAGAGAGGUGAGUGGAAUUCCCAGUGUAGAGGUGAAAUUCGUAGAUAUUGGGAAGAACACCGGUGGCGAAGGCGGGUCUCUGGGCCGAUACUGACGCUGAGGAGCGAAAGCGUGGGGAGCGAACAGG
rnacentral:rRNA from 1 species